UACUGUUACAGCUUCCAAAAAGUCUUUGUCUCCUCAAUCGACUAUGAAUAAUAAUAAUGAACCUACAUCAGACAGUUCUUCAACAUCUAUGAGUACACUUUCUGUACAAAUGCAAUGCAAUCGCUUAGGGAGAAAACACAAAACUUUCUUAAGAAAUAUUAAUAAAGCGAAAUCAUCUGUGACCCCUUUGAUGAUGAUGGUAAAGAUAGCAAUAACCACGAAAAUCUUACUGAUAUGAUAUACUCCGAGACUCCAAAAAAUAAAAAUAGCGUUUUAGAGGAAGAAAGGACUUUGAUGUCAACGAACAAUGAAAAUCAAGCAUCUCAAAAUUCACCACCAUUUCAAGGUAUAUCGCAUACAGAUCGUGAUAUGUUGACGACAGUCUUAAGCCAAUUGAAAACGCUUCAUGGACCGGUUGUAUCUAAUCUUGAUAGAGAUUUGCUUCGUGAUGUAUCAAGUAAACUUGAUAUAGUUCUAAUUAAUCAACGCCGUAUCUUAAACGAAAUAUUUUCUGGUGAAACUGUCAUAGAGAGGCCUGAAAAUUGUCCUCUUCCAUUGCGAGAUGAGAAGUCAUUUCAAGCAUUCGAUGAAUUUUUGAAUGAUAAAAUUGCAUUUUCUUAGUUUGUAAGUAUAACUGAUUUCUAAAGAUAUUCAUUUAUAUCUUCUAUAUGAACAUAUGAACAUCUCUCUCUUUUUCUCUCUCUUUACAUAAUUUGCAUUUAUUUUUUUGUAUGUUUUGAAGGUCAGUUACCUUAAUGCACGUAUUCUUGAUGAUUCUGAUCAGUGGAAUGCUGCUAACUGCCUGAUGUCCAUUUUAUUGCAUAAUGAACUUGCAAGACAAAUUAGUUGGAAAGGAACUAGAGGAGUAAAAAUCUCUUUUCAUGGAACACAAAUUAAAGAGGCUUUAUUUUGUGCCAUAAUGGGCGUUUUAAAAAUCAAACUUUAAAAAAUGCUGAAGAAUCUGUGAAACGUUGGCUGAAUACAUCAAGUCAACGUAAAUAAUAGACUGCAAUAUAACUAUAACUUGUGCAAUGUUUAUAAGUCAAUAUUAUACGCAAUUUAUAUGUAAUGAUUGUAAUAAAUAUGUCAUAAGCAGUCAAAUAUAACGUUUAUA